CGGCUGAGGGGCCCGGUGGCGGUACCGUUCCGAAGGGUGCGGAACGGGAUCGGUUCCCGUUUCCAGGAGCAGGUUCCCGUUUGUUCGAAGGGCCGAAAGGGGAAGGGCACGGCCGUGUGCACACAGGGGGAGAGCGGGCAGAGAAACGGAACCUUUCCGAGCUGACAGCACCGAACCUGCGGCGAUCAUGGCGUGUGCUCAGUUCCGGGUCUUCGCUGCCUUCAGAUCCUGUUUUCAGCCUCCUUCCUCCUGCCUGUUGGCUCCUGGAUAUACAAUUAACAGAUGAGGCAGAGGCAAAAAGAGACACAAACACAAUGGAAUAGUUUAUAACCUGGCUUGAUUAAUGCUGUCAAGUUGCACAUCUGAGUGUGAGCUCAGUGGGACUGUUGCUUUUGUUUAAUACCACAAGACACCUCAGUCUGGAUUGUUGCAUUACAGUACAAAUAAAAAC